UCAAAAAAUCCAUUUGUUCCGAUCGUUAAUUUACAAUUCAGCAUUGAAACAGUUGUGAAAUGCUAAAUCAAAAGUCCCAUUAUAGAAUAAUAAGUAUAUAUAGAAUAUUUACCACUGACAUAAUUAUAGGUUUAUAUUAAGAUGAGGAGCAGCCAUAAAAGCUCUGAUCCUUUUAUAUAUUUUACAUUUUCUAUCUUUUGCUCAUUAUGCAAAAUUUGCUUGAAAAUUAAUCUCUUUGAAGAAUGAUUGAUACUAGAGGUAAAACAGAAAUAGUAAUUAAAUAAUGACAAGUUUUGUUGUUCUAGAUUUCAGAAAUGAAAAUUAUUUAGGGAAUGUAGUUUUGUUUACAGUUAUUGAAAAGGCUUCCAUAUGUUAACCCCUUGGAAUACACCUAAUCGCUAUUUAUUCCCAUCCAGAUAAGUUCUCACAUUGCACAACUUUUUUUUACGAUACAAACCAUUUGAAGUUAUCUAGGGCCCUUGUUUAAACAAUGUAUUGUGCAUAAAACUUGUAACAGUGCAUGAACUUUGUUUUUACAACACUUGAAAUAAAAAUAAAGUUGCCUAUUAAGUGACUGGACUAAAGAGUGAUAAUGUGUCAGUGGCAGAUCCAGGGGAGGGGGAGGGUGGCGUCCCGGGGUUGGAACCCCCUUUUUGUUUGGACGAUCAAUGCAUUUGAAUGGGGACAUGUGGUUGGAACCCCCCCCCCCCUUUAUCCUGGUUAGGACCCCCCCCCCCCUUUUUAAAUGGCUGGAUUUGCCCCUGUGUGUGUAAACUGUAAGGUAUAAUUGUGUUUUUUCUUGGAUGCCGUAUGGAACUCCUGCCCAGUAAGGGAAAUUUGUAGAACCAAAACUGACAAAUUUUGGCUAUUGUGUCGCAUAAUAAUCGUAAUUUGUGUUCAAGUGAUAAUCCAUGACCUGACUUUUCGUUUGACAAUCAAACAAUUAAGAUUCUUCUUGUAUUUGUAUAGUUGUUAAAUUUAAAACAAUGAUGCUAUAAACCUUUGUGUAUAUAUAGAUAGUUCCUGUAAUCUAAAAUUAUUCUUUCUUUUUAUUACCUCAAUGAGGAAGAAUCUGUUUUAAUAUUUUCGAGACUACCAAAUUUCGUAGAUUUAGGAAAAUGCAUCUUCAUGAAUACUUAAUUUCAUGUUUUUUCCAAAGUGCAUACAAUCUUAUAGAAAAUUUGUAAUUCGAUGAACAUUUUAAUUCAUGGUUUACCUGUACCCACGUAAAUUGGUACCCAAUGAAUAAUAAAUGAAUCCACAGUAAUUUAAAUUUUAACUGAUAAAGUGCUGUUUUGUUGAGCUAAAUUUGAUAGAUAGUCUCACAACAAUAUAAAAAUAUUGCUUUGGUAACAUGAAAUGAAAACUUUGCAUUUGCAUGUGUGAUGGAUAUAAACAGUCAAAACAGAUUACGUUUAGUACAUGCGACCUUUGAUGUUACAUACAUUUGAAUCUGAAGCCCACCUCUGUGUGAGGGAUUUUCUUGUUGUGUUGAAGAUUCAUUGGUUGCUUUGGGCUGUUUUCUGCUCUUUGGAUGGAUUGUUGUCUCUUUGACACCAUCCCUAUUUCUAUUCUUAAUUUUAUUUGGUUUCUGGUACUAGAAUAUAGUUGUCUCAUUGGUAAUUGUACCACAUCUCCUUUAUAAAGCUUUACAUACAUUUAGUAGAUAGUUGUCUCAUUGGCAAUCAUACCACAUCUCCUUUGUUUAGCUUUAGAUAAAAUCAUUCUUAUUCUAUAUGAAUAAAGAGCAAGUAACGUUGACGCCUUUCAAAUAUGUGUCUGUGGCAUAUUAUUAAUUUGCAAUCAUAUCAUUUGACCCUCAAUUCAUCCAGGAAAUAUGUUUUCUUCACAUUUUUGUCAGAAACAACAAAACAGAAUGACCUCAUAUUUGGUCAGCAGCUCAAAAGUUAUGAGUUUUAACAUUAGUGAAUUUAAAAGCUUUGUCAGACUCCUUAUUACUGUUUUCCAAUAGUUUGAAUAACAGGUCACUACAUAUCAAUUCAGAUGGUUUAGAUAUUGGUGUUAGCACUGUAUCAGCCUAAUGGCAUCACUAAUUGAAUAUGUUACUUACCUAGAUAUUUUUAGACACAGUAACUUGUUAAUCAUCAGUUAAAUGUUGUACAUUUGCCAUUAUAGGAAGCAAGAUUGAUAAAAACUAAUUUUACUUUCAAGUAUUUUGAGUGUCCAUCUUAUACAUUCCACUGAGGUUUGCUCAUUUCUAUCUUUGACAAUGUUUAAUGUGUUCAUGUCUUAUUGUGGCUUCUGCUGGAUAUUUUUAUUCAACUUUGUGGUGUGAGAGUUUAGGCUUCAAUUGCAUACUACUGUGAAUUCAUUUAUUUUCGUGGGUACCAAUUUUCGUGGAUGAAGGAAAAAUCACAUGUUUGUGAAUAUUUAAUUUCAUGGUUUUGCCGAAGUUUGCAUACAAAACUAUAGAAAAUUUGACAUUUGUUGAACAUUUAAUUCCGUGUCUCGGCUGUACCCACGAAAUCCACGAAAAUUGGUAUCCAACAAAUAAUAUUGAAUCCACUGUAUAGGUUACCACUAUUAUGGAUAUUUGAGACAAAUUUUAUUUAAUGUUGAACAGACACAUAACAAUUCAAUCUGCAGUUCUUUACCAAAAUCAUUUUACAAUUGAAAGUUAGUGUUUCUCAUAAAAGGAUUUUUAUGGAUAAUCAAAAUAUUUUUAGAUUUGAAUUUUUCUCAGAACUGUUCAACAAACUUUACAAAUUUUCCAUCCAACAUGAAACAUGUAGUAUGACUUCAUCACAUUAAAUUUAUUUAAUAUUACAUUUAAUAUAACAUUAUCUGUUUUUGUGGGACCAACUAAUGCAAUAAAUUCCAUGCUUUUGAUUUUGUAUAAUUGUUCAUAAAUAGAGAUGUUAUACUGUAGGAGAUGUAAUUCAUCCAGCCAUGUUUAGAUACUAGUCAGUAUGAACAUUUACCAUGUAAUUUGUAUGGAGUUCUUUUAUUAUGAAAUUUUCAAAUAGAACUGUACCCCUGUUGACAUCUUCAACCUGAGGGAUCACCACUUUCACAAUUUUCAAACCAGGGAAAACUUGUUUGAUGACAUAGUUUUUGUCGAGCCUGCAACUUUUGUUGCAGAAAGCUCGACAUAGGGAUAGUGAUCCGGCGGCGGCGGCGGCUACGGCG
rnacentral:lncRNA from 1 species